rnacentral:tRNA from 1 species
GCGGAUGUGGUGAAAUUGGUAGACACGCUGGUCUUAGAAGCCAGUGCCCUAGGCGUGAGAGUUCGAGUCUCUCCGUCCGCACCA